AACGCAUAUUGCGCUUUCUGGAAUUCCGGAAAGCAUGCCUGUUCGAACAUCAACAAAUCAUGUCAAGAGGAUCAGUAUCGACUUCCUUCUUGGUUAUGAACCAGUGAUUGUUGCACAAUUUCGAUCACGGUUUCAAAUUCAAGGGACGGCAACUCAUGUCGGAUAUGAUGUAGUACGAUUGAACCUUCUCCAUCGUUCGACACGUGAUUGCUUGUCAUGUCAUUAUGCCAUUCCAUUGUGUUUGACUUCGAAUCAGGCAGGGAUACCCGCUGAACUUAA
rnacentral:misc_RNA from 1 species